GGGGCCCAGGAAAAGGUUGCUGUGGGGUGGGGCCUGCCAGGGCUCCGCCCAGUGACAGCCAACCUGACCCUGCCCUAGAUAAAUGAGCAGGCAGAAUCCUCCUUGGGGGUUUGCCCUCUGCAGUAACAGGUGUGAGCAUUCUGCCAGUGGUUUGAUGGUCAUGUAUGAUACUGCACACAAGU